rnacentral:rRNA from 1 species
GAUGAACGCUGGCGGCGUGCCUAAUACAUGCAAGUCGAGCGAACAGACGAGGAGCUUGCUCCUCUGACGUUAGCGGCGGACGGGUGAGUAACACGUGGAUAACCUACCUAUAAGACUGGGAUAACUUCGGGAAACCGGAGCUAAUACCGGAUAAUAUAUUGAACCGCAUGGUUCAAUAGUGAAAGACGGUUUUGCUGUCACUUAUAGAUGGAUCCGCGCCGCAUUAGCUAGUUGGUAAGGUAACGGCUUACCAAGGCAACGAUGCGUAGCCGACCUGAGAGGGUGAUCGGCCACACUGGAACUGGGACACGGUCCAGACUCCCACGGGAGGCAGGAGUAGGGAAUCUUCCGCGAUGGGCGAAAGCCUGACGGAGCAACGCCGCGUGAGUGAUGAAGGUCUUCGGAUCGUAAAACUGUGUUAUUAGGGAAGAACAAAUGUGUAAGUAACUAUGCACGUCUUGACGGUACCUAAUCAGAAAGCCACGGCUAACUACGUG